AUUGAACGCUGGCGGCAUGCCUUACACAUGCAAGUCGAACGGUAACGGGCCUUCGGGUGCCGACGAGUGGCGAACGGGUGAGUAAUACAUCGGAACGUGCCCGAUCGUGGGGGAUAACGAGGCGAAAGCUUUGCUAAUACCGCAUACGAUCUACGGAUGAAAGCAGGGGACCGCAAGGCCUUGCGCGGACGGAGCGGCCGAUGGCAGAUUAGGUAGUUGGUGGGAUAAAAGCUUACCAAGCCGACGAUCUGUAGCUGGUCUAAGAGGAUGAUCAGCCACACUGGGACUGAGACACGGCCCAGACUCCUACGGGAGGCAGCAGUGGGGAAUUUUGGACAAUGGGCGCAAGCCUGAUCCAGCCAUGCCGCGUGCAGGAUGAAGGCCUUCGGGUUGUAAACUGCUUUUGUACGGAACGAAAAGCCUUCUUUUAAUACAGGAGGGUCAUGACGGUACCGUAAGAAUAAGCACCGGCUAACUACGUG
rnacentral:rRNA from 1 species